CCUACGGGAGGCAGCAGUAAGGAAUAUUGGUCAAUGGAGGCAACUCUGAACCAGCCAUGCCGCGUGCAGGAAGAUGCCCUCUGGGUUGUAAACUGCUUUUAUCAGGGAAUAUGUACCUGAGGAAUAAGGAUCGGCUAACUCCGUGCCAGCAGCCGCGGUAAUACGGAGGAUCCAAGCGUUAUCCGGAUUUAUUGGGUUUAAAGGGUGCGUAGGCGGCUUAUUAAGUCAGGGGUGAAAGACGGUGGCUCAACCAUCGCAGUGCCUUUGAUACUGAUGAGCUUGAAUGUACUUGAGGUAGGCGGAAUGUGACAAGUAGCGGUGAAAUGCAUAGAUAUGUCACAGAACACCGAUUGCGAAGGCAGCUUACCAAGUUGAUUGACGCUGAGGCACGAAAGCGUGGGGAUCAAACAGGAUUAGAUACCCUUGUAGUC
rnacentral:rRNA from 1 species